GACACGAUGGCCGAGUGGUCUAAGGCGGUAGAUUUAAGUUUGUCAGCAAUUGCAAUACUCAGAUCUCUACUGGAGCAAUCCGCGUGAGUUCGAACCUCACUCGUGUCA